rnacentral:lncRNA from 1 species
UUCCUCUUUCCCCGCGCUGGGAACACCCGUUGCCUUCUUUAGACGGGAAAAGCACCACCCAAAGGCUGUUUCCUGACGCCGUCCCUUAGCUUCUUAGUUGAGCUACUUAGUGGUAGUUCCCUGCAUUAAGGAAAAUCAGGAAUGUCGUGAGGGACAACUUGUAUCUAUUUGGUGCUUGACAGUUUACGAGGUGUUUUCUGUCAUCUCAUCCAUCCUGGGUGCUAGGCGCUAUGCAUAUUCCACUCCACUUUACACAGAAGGAACUGAGAGGCAAACUGAAUUUUCUAAGGAAUAGUUUUCCGGAGAAAUGAACGAGGGAUCCAACCUGUCACAUCACCUGUCAGCUGGCAGGUGCUUUUGCUCGGCUGCAACAGCAGAGUAGAGGCUUACAAGUCAGCUGGGACAAGGAUACCAAGAGAACUGCCUGAUGGAAGGAAUCUGUUUGCUUAUUAUGUGAACACACACCCUCAGCACACUGAUCAAAGCCCAUGGAAACUUCUACAGCCCUAAGGCAGUCUACAUAACAGUGUUUCUGAGAGACAUCUAGAGAUAUUUACUCUGCUCCUUUAAAAAAUCCAUAUUAGGGGCUGGAGAGAUGGCUCAGAGGUUAAGAGCACUGACUGCUCUUCCAGAGGUCCUGAGUUCAAUUCCCAGCAACCACAUGGUGGCUCAUAACAAUCUAUAAUGAGAUCUGAUGCCCUCUUCUGGCCUGCAGGCAGACAUGCAGGAAGAACAUUGUAUACAAAAUAAAUAAUAAAAUCUAAAAAAAAA